rnacentral:rRNA from 1 species
GACGAACGCUGGCGGCGUGCUUAACACAUGCAAGUCGAACGGAAAGGCCCUGCUUUUGUGGGGUGCUCGAGUGGCGAACGGGUGAGUAACACGUGAGUAACCUGCCCUUGACUUUGGGAUAACUUCAGGAAACUGGGGCUAAUACCGGAUAGGAGCUCCUGCUGCAUGGUGGGGGUUGGAAAGUUUCGGCGGUUGGGGAUGGACUCGCGGCUUAUCAGCUUGUUGGUGGGGUAGUGGCUUACCAGGGCUUUGACGGGUAGCCGGCCUGAGAGGGUGACCGGCCACAUUGGGACUGAGAUACGGCCCAGACUCCUACGGGAGGCAGCAGUGGGGAAUAUUGCACAAUGGGCGGAAGCCUGAUGCAGCAACGCCGCGUGCGGGAUGACGGCCUUCGGGUUGUAAACCGCUGUCGCCUGUGACGAAGCGUGAGUGACGGUAAUGGGUAAAGAAGCACCGGCUAACUACGUG